GGGAGGUAGAUAGACAACAAGGAUUUGUCAUUGCGAACACUUCUCGGGUUGGCUUCAAGCUGAGAUCUAGAAAGAGCUGCGGCUUGUGGGACUUAAUGUCCACGCUAGGGGUAAAGGCUGGGCAUUGAAGGCAGCACAGCCUUUCCAGGCUGGGCUUACUUGAAUUGAUUGGACCCCAAAGGGACAAUCAGGGUUGGAAAGAAGUGUUCACCAGAGGAAAUAGUCAGGUUUGGGGGUUUAGAGGGUAAAUGAAUAAAUAGGGGAAAUUUUAAAAACUUUUUUUUUGUAAAUUUUGUCAUAUAAAAGGACAUGCAAAUAAGACAAGGUAAUCUUAUUUGCCAAAAACUGUUGGUCUGGAGUCACAAUACCUGGGUCCUGUUUCCCAGUGUUCUGCUGCUUUUUACUUGUGGAGCAAAUCAUUUCACAGUUCUGGAGUGGAUGACACCUGAAGUUCUAGCUCUAAAUCCACAAUUCGGGGAUGUCAAGCGCUGUUUCCGAAAAUGUCAUUGUUGCCUUUCAUUCUCUCGUCACUCCCUCCUCCCUUCCUGUUAGAAGAAUUUUUAAACAACCACUGCUGACUUAGCAGCCCGCCACGAGCACACGAGCACCACGUUCAACAUCUGCAGUCUCUCAUCUCACAGGCAGCUUUACUAGGAGGACUCUGGCAUUGCUGUGUUCCCUAUUAAAGCACCGAAGUUUCAACAGGAUCUCUAGAAAUGCCUGUGUACUUCCAUCAGUGGAGCACUGCACAUGAUGCAGAUUGGACACAAAGACACUGUUUUGUUGGCGAUUCUGCAUCUGAGGUCCAGGGACUUUGACUAGAUCCAGUUGGGUGAGGUGGCCUAAGGACAGUGGCAUUUAAUUCAAUCUAAUUAAUUAGACAAGUAUCAGUUAAACCCUUUGCUCAGCAUCCCUUAGAUUACGGAACUGAACUGAAUAAUAGUCCCAGACCAGAUCAUACCACUUGGACUCCUUCCUGUAAGGAGGAAGGAUGGUAUUGGGGAGGAGGGGGCAGAAUGGUUGCCAGAUUGGGGACAGUGAGGGCAAGAAGGCGCUCACUCUCACUCUAAUCCCGUUCCUAUCAAAAGGGAAGAAGAAACAGGAAGGCAGCGGUGGCUGACAGUCAUGGUCCCCUCAAUGCCAACAGGAGUGGUCUUUUAUAUUCCAUUCUGUUUUCCCUGGAACAGAGGGCAUCAUGACUGCUGGCCAGAGGGAAGAUCAGUGGCAAGCAGUUGCAGAAAUGGACGCUUCCACUUGGUGUCUCCAUAAAGGGGAAGGGCAGGGUGGCCCUGGAAACAGUAAGGGGGUCCUGCUAAACUGCUUGUCCUGAGUCAUGAGACUGCUGCUCUAGGUCUGGGAGGGAGGGAGGGAAGGAAGGAGGGGUUUCAAUUUCAAUUUCAGCAACCUGACUGAAAGAACUUGGGAUUGGGUGGGAGAAAAAAGACUUGGUUUUAGUCCAUGCUUUUUAAAGAUACCCUCUAGAAAAUGAGGGAUUUAAACAAAGUCCUCUCUGAGGCCCCUUCCGGCUCUAAAAUCUAUGUUGAAUGGAUGAAAAUUGAGUUCUCUUUAAUCCCACUUUUGCUCAAACUCAGUUUCCAUAAGACUUAAAUAAGCUUUUCUCUGUAACCUUGGCUAAAGUCACCCUCCUCCCAUUUUCUCUUUAAGAAUGAAUGAAUUGGACUAGAAUCAAGGGCUCCCAACCUAUCGUCUAUGGCCUUUUUUUUUUUUAAAUGUUUUGACAACUGUAAGUAGGUAUCAUUGGUUUCCUUUGUAAUCACUUGUUAUAUUGCACGCAUUUAACAACAUUAUUCUGCCACAGGAUCUGGCACAGGCUUCCCUACAGUGCUAAAGGGGAAAGAGUUACCUAGGAAAUCAUCUCUCGGUGCCCUUCCAGAUCUGGCCUUACAGAUCGAUGAUUUGGGGACGCCACCGAAAGCUCUUUUACCGCAAGCAUCUGCUUAUUUAUUGGGUUACCAUUUCACAUUCCACUGCCAAUCCCCAUUAAAAUCAGGCUUUCAGAACUGACCUUAUAAUUUACAAUUCUGGGGAGGUGAAUCACUGAUUCAGAAACAGUAUUUGAACUCUGGACUUGUUGAUUCUAAGGUCAGUGCUCUAGCUACUAAAUUAUGCUACCUCUCUGGUGCUUAGUUAAAAUGUCAAGCCACCAAAUGACCCAUUUUUUGAUGAGGGAGAAAAUCAGCCUCCCCAGCAACAAAGUUUCUUGGUAUACCCGAGGUAGUAUGUUCCAGGAACGUCAGACUCCCUCAGACUACCAUUUUGACCUUAACCUUCUCUCAGACCCACGUGGAGACAGAGCCCUGACUGCAUUCAAGAGCCACCCCCACCCCAGGUCACUAGCCCUAUUUCCAGCACAUACACAUAGUCCAAUCAUCAUCUAAGGAUACAUCACCUGUGGAGAGAUACUCCCUGCCACUAUCAUUAAAAAAGCUUCUCAUCACCAAAUCCUUAACAUCAAAUCCUUAGACAAAAGCUUAGUAUCAUCAAAGGAGGUGGUUUUAUAAGUAGAAAUGGCACUCAAGAAGGUGUAUUACCACCUGCUUUGCCAUUGCCUAACCCUAACAUUACCAGGUCUUUCCAUCUGCUCUACUGUUGAAACCCCCCUCUACAUGUUGUCUCCCUUAAUUAAAAUAUGAGUUACACAAAAGCAGGGAGUCCUUGCUUUUUAUAUUUCCAAAGCACAGUGCUUGGAACAUAGUAAGUGCUUAAUAGAAGUUUUUCAUUCAUUCAUUCAUUCAUUUAUUAUUUGAUCAUUCAUUCAGUCCCUCAUUCCAGGAACUGCUAAGCUUCCUUCCAGCUCUGACAAUCUAGGAAUCUACUGUUUUGCUUUUAAAUCCCCAGUGCUUAGCACAGUGUCUGAUAUCUAGUUGGCACUCCUAAUAAAUACUUAUUGAUUGUAGUCACAGCUUUCCCAGGGGUAAAUUUCUGCCUUUCAAUUUAAUUUCUUUACAAUAGGCACUGGGUGGUGCUGUUAUAGAAAGGUUUCCACCUUCCAUCCCUUGAGUUUGGAUGAUUGCAUCAAGAUUUUUUUUUUAACAGGUGCUAUUCCUUUCCUCAUGGAAGAAGAAAUACCCCAUUCCCUUAUCUCAUUUCACAAUCUCACACGUCAUGGUGAUCAGGGUUUUAUUUUUCAUUACAUUUUAUUGACUUUCAACUAGCAUUUAUUUCUUCCCCUGAAGGCUCCCUUGAAAAGACAGGAAAAAAGCCCUCGUAACAAACAUUCAAUCAAGCAAAACAGAUUCCUAUAUUGUACAUGUCCAAAACCUUGUGUCCCAUUCUACAUUUUCAGCCAAUCACUUCUCUCAGGAAAUGGGUGGGUAACUUGCUUUGUCACAGGUGCUCUAGAAUCAUGGUCGGGUCAGUCAUUAAUUCGUUCAAAAUUGUUCAUUCUUCCGGUGUUGAUACAUUUUAAAUGAUUCUCCUAUUUACUCAUGUCACUGCACAUUAGUAGUUCAUACGACUUCCCAGAUCUCUCCGAAGCCAUCCCUUUCAUCAUUUCUUAGGCACAAUAGUAUUCCAUUACAUUCAUAUACCAUUUGUUCAAUCUUCCUCAGGAGGUGGGUGCCCCCUUAGCUUCCAGUUUGUGGCCACACACCAAAAAAAAGCUGCCAUAAGUAUUUUUGUACAUUUAGGAUAUUUUCCUCCAUGGAGUUCAAUUGCUGAGGAAUGCCAAAUUGGUAAGCCAGCAUGUGACAAGAGCAGACUCUCGGUCUCAGAUCCCUUUGGUCAUGUGGUAAUGUGUAUGGAUCUCUUUUCAGAAAAAAAGUUUUUAAAUGCUUAAAAAAAAGGUGGGGUAUUACAAAGGAAACCAAUUAUAUUGAAAUACAGUUACCCAUAGUUUUUUUUUUUUCCAGUUUCUGAACAGCAGGUUAAGAAGCUGUGACAUUGUCAUUGAAAUCCCAAGUGGGUAGAUGUGUGGUAUGUGGAUGGGGAGCCCCAUCUCCUGCAUCCUAGCUCCCAGGCUCCCUACUGUACUACCUAGUUUAAAGCCAGAUUUUUGCCUAGCAGAGAGAUCCUGUGAGAUCAUUUCCAUCCAAUGAAGAAGGGACAGUCCAGUGAUGAGCUCAUGUGGGGGUGCAGAAAUAGUGGGUCACCUGGAAGCUUAUGCUUUUCAUGAAUUAUAAUCAUUCUUGCAAAUUACAGGUCGCUGGACAGAGUUUUAAAGGGCUCAGAGCCUAAGAAAUCUGCGUUCAAGUCCUGAUUCUCACUUGUUAGCUCUGUGAUCACUGGCAAAUCCUUUAAAGUUUUUAGGGAUCUCCAGAGUCUCUUAGGCUAUUAGAGAUAAACUGUGUUUCGAAUCAGAAGUUGCUUACAAGGAUGAAAUCGUCCUAUUUUUAAAGAAAAGUUUUGAGAAUUUAAUAGGGUUUCUUAAUUUUUGCUUUGCAGCCAUGCUUUUAAAAUUUCUACAGGGGCAAAGCACCCCCAUCCUAGCCAUAAAUGCCAGAGGGGUCUAGAUUUGUAUUAAGAGAGAUGUUUUCUAGCAAUGGGAAGACAAGAGUCCUCUGCUCUCAGCAGUCCUCAUCCCGAGUAGUGUGGUUCAGUUCUAGGAAAGACCACGAGUGUCCACACAAGAGGGCCUCCAGGAUAGCGAAGGGGAACUGGGGAGUUUAGCUAAAGGAAGACUCGCUGGGAGUCGAGAGUAGUUGUGUUCCAGUAUUUGCGUCAGAUAGGGGAUAGCUUGGGCUGGCUAGGUUUGGGCCCAGAGUGCCGAACCGGGAUGGAGGAAGCUGCAGAGAGGGCAGGAAAAAGCUCCCCGGUCUGAGCUGCCUCCGAGCGUACUGGGCUUGUCUCUGAGUAAGCGGGUUCUUCCUCGCUGGAGGUCUCCAUGCUGGCUGACUAGAUUAUGGAAGAUGUGGCUUGGGCUAGGAUGUGGAUGACUGUAGGGUGCCUGGAAGUUUUGUAUGUUGAGGAAAUAGAGGAGCUAGGGGGAGGGGUGGGCAGUGCAGGGGCUGGGGCAUUGGAGUGGGUUGGGAGCUUAGGACUUGGGCACAGGCAGUACGUGAGCUUUGGGGGCGUCAUCAGGUCUCUGGGGGACCUCAGUUGCCUCUUCUAUGUAAGGAGGAGGUUGGACUAUGUAGGGGGUGGUCUCUGAGGUCCCUUUCAGCUCAGAAUCUGGAACCCUCUGUCCUAUGUGAAGGGCUUUUAGAAGACGGUGGGGGGAGGGGGGAGGGGGGCUGGGGAGGAUGUGGAGGCUGGCCUUAAUUCUGCCAGGAACCAAAAUGGCUUAGCACAAUUAGGGCUCCUGGACGUUGACAGAAAUGGGGGGCGAGCAGGAAGGUUCGUGGGAGGAGGGGUGGCAGACAAAUCUGUCCCAGGCAGGGCCUCGCCCCCCCCCCCAGCCUAGUGUCCAGGGGCACCCGAGCUGGGAGAGGCUCAUCAGCUCGGCAAGUGGAAAGGCGAGAAUAUUCCGGGGACCCCAGCUGCGCUAUAAGGUGCCUGCUGACUUCAGCUCCGGCUCUCCUGAACCUGCCCUAGCUCCCACUAUCUCCUCCGGCAACUCCGAGACACUGAGAGCAGGAACAACAGCAGCAGCAGCAACAGUAACAGCGGGCACGCCCAGCACCCAGCGUAACAGCCAAAACCUGUGACAAACCAGACCUCUCUGAAGUGAAAAAAUUUGACAAGAGAAAGCUGAGAAAGACCACUACGGUGGAGAAGAAUACUCUUCCUUCUA